GGAGGAGUGGAGGAGGAGGAGGGAGAGGAGGAGGAGUGGAGGAAGAGGAGAGGGCAGAGGCCUCCUUGCCAACACAGGGGAGAGGUGGACUUCCUUUUCUCCAUGCACCUGGAAUCCUGGGCACAAGCUAUUGCCUGCCCCUGCCCCACCUGCAUCCAGGCUUCCUAGUUCCGGUACUCACAGGUGGCCACUGGAUCUUCCUAAUGGACCCAUCCAUGUCUGUAUUGGCCAAUGGAAGCACAUUCUGGAAGGAGGCGAGAAAUAAGAACCUUCACCAGGCAAGCAACCCCUUCUCUGGCCCAUCGGCGGAGCCAAGAUGGCGACUGAGAAGCUGCUAGUUGCUUGAGCUCCGACAACAUCUGCUGGAAAUGCCACGAGGUUCCAGAUGCCAUCAGGAUGCCGGCCAGGCUUCCCUGGACUGAAGACCCCACCAAUGUGUCCUGGAGCUCCGCUUCCCCGGAGACCCACCCUACAAGGGAAAGAGAGAGGCAGACUGGGAGUAUGGACCGACCAGUCAACGCCCAUGUUCAGCGGGGAAGCAAUUACAGAAGCCAGACCUUCUACCUUCUGCAACCCACAACGACCCUGGGUCCAUGCUUCCAGAGGGAUAGAGAAUGGGAAAGCUAUCAGGGGAGGGGAUGGGAUAUGGAGAUUGGGUGGUGGGAAUUGUGUGGAGU